ensembl:lncRNA
CUCCUUUGGACACUCUCUCGUAGUUCUAUGUCCUUAUAUUGUGGCAUCCAAACCUACACCCAGUGCUGGAGGCUGCAGGAGGCAGCCAGGAAAGCAGGGCCCGGCCAGCAUCGGACUGCAUGAGACUCCGGCCUUCCUUUGCCUUUCUGCCAGAGCUGGGAGUGGCAGGAAGUUUCAGCAGCGAGUGAACUGCUGCAUGAACUCAGAAGCAGCUUAAAAAGAUAGCUGCUAAAUGCUUAACACAUUGUAAACUUCAAGAGGGAACAAACAAAGGCAAGUGUAGGAAACCUGCAAUGCAGUCCUUCACGGUGGGUGCUUUCCGUCCUUGCACACAAGCUACCUUACAGCAGGUUUUUGUUCCGUUUCCUGCUUCAGUAGACAUUCUUUGAUCUGCAGAAUCACUUAGGUGCUAAGUUACUGAAAUCGAAACUAUUUUCACGCAUAGAAAAAUAUUAUGACAUGGUAGUCCAGGGAAGAUGCAGUUUACACUCAACAGUGAUGGUGGAUCACUUCCUGGAUAGCACAAGGGUCUGGAAGGGCUGUCCUUGCUCCUGGAGUUACCUCUCCCAUCAGACAGCCCCUCGCUGGGACACCCACGGCCACUGACAUGGCAUAUAAAAGCAGUACCUUCCACGUUUUCAACGACCUCAUCAAUUGGGAGGCCCAAAACUGGACAGCAGGAUUGCACACAGCAUCAUGCACUGGGAGAUAAUCAUAGAAUUACAGAAUGGUUUGGCUUGGAAUGGAUCCCAAAGCCCACCCAGCUCAAAGCCGACCCAGGGCUGCCACCCACCAGCUCAGGCUGCCCAGGGUCCCAUCCAACCUGGCCCUGUAUGCUUCCAGGGAGGGGGCAUCCACAGCUUCUCUGGGCAGCAGUGCCAGCACCUCACCGCCCUCUGAGUAAACAAUUUCUUUCUACCAUCUAACCUGAAUCUUCCCUCUUUUCGCUAAAAGCCACUCCACCUUGACCUAUCACUAUCAGACUGUGUAAAAAGCUGGUCCCCCUCCUGUUUAUAAGCUCCCUUCAAGUACUGGAAUGCCACGAUGAAGUGUCCUGGGGCCUUCUCUUCUCCAGACUGAACAAGCCCAGCUCCUUCAGCCUGUCUUUGUAGGAGAGAGAGGUGUUCCAGCCCUCUCAUCAUCUUCAUGGCCUCCUCUGGACCUGCUCUAAUAGCUCUAUGUCUUUCUUGUGCUGGGGCCCCAGACCUGGAUGCAGUGCUCCAGAUGGGACCUUACAAGGGCAGAGUAGACGGGGACAGUGAUCUCUCUUACCCUGCUGGCCCCCUCCUCUUUUGAUGCAGCCCCUUGAUUUGUUGGCCACCUGCUUCCUGACAUAGGCCAGCCUGUGCUAUGCCCUGUUUGCAACAAGAACGCUGUUCACCCAUCUUCAGCUUGGCAUCCACAGUAAGCACUAUCCAUAUAGCAGGGCUGCUGUAUGGUUUCCAGCCUCUGUUGUACACUCUUGUAUAAGCAGCUUUCCUGU